rnacentral:lncRNA from 1 species
AAAUUCCUUCCCAGCCACAUAAAUCUCCUGGUUUUAAGCGUGGAUCCAAGGCUGAGGCUGGGGGUGAAGCUCAAAUGGGAAAGCCCGAGCUGCGUGUGCCUGCAAUGAAAUUAUAAAUCCACAUCCCGGAGCAAGCGAGCAGCAGGAGGCACCAGGAACCUCCAUCAGCAGAAGCGCUGGGCUGCAGCAAGGGAUGGGAGUUGGGAGUGGAACCGACAAGGCUGGGAGAGCUGUUGGCAUUUCUCCUGACAAAAUCCUGCACAAAUGGAGCCAGUCCAGGUGAAACCACGGCAUUGGACCCACCUGGUGUUCAGUGCUGAGCCCCGUCCCUUCCCCUGAGUUCUGCCCUCAGUUUCCUCAGCUGUAAAGUGGAGAAGAUGCUGCCAAGCCCUGCUUGAAAAGCGCUGUCAGACCCAGCAAAUGUCACCGAAUGGCUCAGGUGGAGCUUGGUCAGCUGGCACACAGCACAUCAAAGGCACAGGACACUCUGCAUCUGAGGCCAGGGACCAGCAAGGCUGAGGCCAGCCUGGACUGACCAGUGAUGAGCGGAGAGGAGCAACAAUUCCACCCUGCAGGUCAGAGCCAAGGAGGGAAUUGGCCUCUGCCAUCCUCAAAGCCCAAUUAACCAAAUCACCACAGCCCAGGAGGCUUCUGCAGGAGGGAAGAGGAGCAAGAGGAGAACUCCAAUGAGGAAUGGGCAGUGACAAAACCCCCGGAGGUAACCUGAGACAGAGGCUGCUACGUGACCCAGGAGCUGCCAAAAACAAAUGCCAAGACCAUCAGCUGAGCCCCUGCUCGUUCCCAGGGCUGGGAGUGAGGGACUCACCUGACAAGCCAAGCCCAGGUGGUCUCUAAGUGAGUUUUAAUUCCAAGUUCCCGAUGCUCAGGCAGGGUGGGAGCAGCUGCUCAGUGCCAGGAGCUCAGCACGUUUGGGCUGACUGCAGCUCACUCUCAGCAGCUCUGCAGUAAAUACGUGGCUGUGUCCAGCCUGCUGGAAUUGGAUUGAAAUUUUACCUUCUCCAUCCCCGGAGCUGGAGCCUGGCCAUGGGGAGCAGCAGCUGAGCUGUUGUGGUUGGGAUUAACCCUUGGAUGGGGCUGGCUCUGAGCAUCGCCCACGGAGCCUCCUCCAUCCCUGC